AUUGAACGCUGGCGGCAUGCCUUACACAUGCAAGUCGAACGGCAGCACGGGUGCUUGCACCUGGUGGCGAGUGGCGAACGGGUGAGUAAUACAUCGGAACGUACCUUAUCGUGGGGGAUAACGCAGCGAAAGCUGUGCUAAUACCGCAUACGCCCUGAGGGGGAAAGCGGGGGAUCGAAAGACCUCGCGCGAUUAGAGCGGCCGAUGCCUGAUUAGCUUGUUGGUGGGGUAAAAGCCCACCAAGGCGACGAUCAGUAGCUGGUCUGAGAGGACGAUCAGCCACACUGGGACUGAGACACGGCCCGGACGCCUACGGGAGGCAGCAGUGGGGAAUUUUGGACAAUGGGGGCAACCCUGAUCCAGCAAUGCCGCGUGAGUGAAGAAGGCCUUCGGGUUGUAAAGCUCUUUUGUCAGGGAAGAAACACCGGCUCUAACACAGUCCGGGAAUGACGGUACCUGAAGAAUAAGCACCGGCUAACUACGUGCCAGCAGCCGCCGCAG
rnacentral:rRNA from 1 species